AUGAAGACCGACUGCCGUUAACUAGUCGAGCUAUGGAAUACCCGGUUGUCAGCGCGUUCUGUCGUAGCAUCGCUUUUAGAUGAAAUUAGAGAGCUAUCUCUGCAGUUUAAUUCCUUUGUAAUUCAACAUAUUUGUAGAUCGGCCAAUGUACCGGCGCACUUGUGUGCUAAGCUAGCUUGCACGCUUAGUGUGUCGAAAAGUUGGAUCGACGAGACUCUAAGCUUCCUGGUCGGUACCCUUUUGGCUGACUGCAACAGGAAUUCAUUAGUUGAAUAA
rnacentral:rRNA from 1 species